CGGCACACAGGAAGUUACGUAGGUAUCCGAAACAACAAUAAUAACGUGUCACUUACUCAAUAGCACAUGCACAUCGCGUCGCGGCGUGAACGAGGAGUGGGAAUCGAUUCAAAAAGAGCAUCGACCUACGACUCAAAUUAUACGACACACGAUCAAAACCAUACGGACAAGUGACUCUGCGGCUGGCGCGUCCCGCGUAGCUGG